GUAUUAAUUGCGUGUGAUCGCAAAAGAAAAACAUUCUACACUGUAUCGAGUUUGUGUGAAAACGUGAGCCCCCGAAAGGGGACCCACGCGGUGGUGCACAUAGGGGUGAGAUGGAUGUUUGAGAACGCUCGGGCGUGCACGACGAAAAAGUCAGCGACAGCCCUCGCGCCUCGGUUUUACGAUAAUGAUCCUUCCGCAGGUUCACCUACGGAAA
rnacentral:misc_RNA from 1 species